rnacentral:lncRNA from 1 species
GUUGGAAGUGGGGGUUGCUUACCAUCAGAUCAACCCCUCUUGUCAAAAGGAAUAACCGCAAUAAAGAACUACAUCGAUCUCCUCUAUGGUAGCAUAUGUCAAAUGGUAAAUUGCGUGAUCUUUAUUCCACGCUCUUGUGACAAGUGAUCUUAGCUAAGUGUUUUGGUUUGCCUCACUGUACUAAUGUUCAUUUGUUCCUUAUUUGGAACUAAAUUUGCAUG